GAUGAACGCUGGCGGCGUGCCUAAUACAUGCAAGUCGAGCGAACGGACGAGAAGCUUGCUUCUCUGAUGUUAGCGGCGGACGGGUGAGUAACACGUGGAUAACCUACCUAUAAGACUGGGAUAACUUCGGGAAACCGUAGCUAAUACCGGAUAAUAUUUUGAACCGCAUGGUUCAAAAGUGAAAGACGGUCUUGCUGUCACUUAUAGAUGGAGCCGCGCUGCCUUAGCUAGUUGGUAAGGUAACGGCUUACCAAGGCAACGAUGCAUAUCCGACCUGGGAGGGUGAUCGACCACACUGGAACUGGAGCACGGUCCCAACUCCUAAGGGAGGCAACAGUAGGGAAUCUUCCGCAAUGGGCGGAAGGCUGACGGAGCAACGCCGCGUGAGUGAUGAAGGGCUUCGGAUCGUUAAACUCUGUUAUUAGGGAAAAAAAUAUGUGUAAGUAACUGUGCACAUCUUGACGGUACCUAAUCGGAAAACCACGGCUAACUACGUG
rnacentral:rRNA from 1 species